GACGUGGGGGGCCAGCGUUGCUCGGAAUUACUGGGUGUAAAGGGUUCGUAGGCGGUGUAGCAAGUCGGGAGUGAAAUCUAUGGGCUCAACUCAUAGUCUGCAUCGGAAACUGCCGGGCUCGAGUGUGGGAGAGGUGAGUGGAAUUUCCGGUGUAGCGGUGAAAUGCGUAGAUAUCGGAAGGAACACCUGUGGCGAAAGCGGCUCACUGGACCACAACUGACGCUGAUGCACGAAAGCUAGGGGAGCAAACAG
rnacentral:rRNA from 1 species